CCCAGGAGGAACUGUCUGUUGAAGACCCCCCCCCCCCCACCACCACCAAGCUGCCCACCAGAGGCCAAGCUGUACUUGGUGUUUGCCAACAUGCUGUAAUUUCCAGCCUGGUUGCUGUAGCCACAGAGGAAUUUUCAAGGACAAGAACCAGUGCUGGUAAAACUGUGGUCUCUGUGGUUUUCCAUACCGGCUCUCGGCAAGGAUUUUCAAGAAAGGAAUACCAUCUCCAAAUCAUGAUGUGCCAAUAAGCUCCAGUUAGCUGCGGCCUUUUCCCCAGGCGGUAGUCCUGCAAUCUGAAUCCAGGAGAUGCAGCUCUGAAUCCAAUAUUUCAGAAGAAUGAAG